GACGAACGCUGGCGGCGUGCUUAACACAUGCAAGUCGAGCGGUAAGGCCCUUUCGGGGGUACACGAGCGGCGAACGGGUGAGUAACACGUGGGUGACCUGCCCUCAGCUCUGGGAUAAGCCUGGGAAACCGGGUCUAAUACCGGAUAUGACUCCAUGACGCAUGUUGUGGGGUGGAAAGCCUUGUGCGGCUGAGGAUGGGCCCGCGGCCUAUCAGCUUGUGGUGGGGUGAUGGCCUACCAAGGCGACGACGGGUAGCCGGCCUGAGAGGGCGACCGGCCACACUGGGACUGAGACACGGCCCAGACUCCUACGGGAGGCAGCA
rnacentral:rRNA from 1 species